rnacentral:lncRNA from 1 species
AGGCCAAGAAACACUGCUUCAAACUGAAGAAGGUUUUGUUAUUAUUACCAGACAGGUUUGGCAGAACUGUGUUUGAGGUCCAGAAUCAAGAGGAAGCUGGGAAGAAGAGGAGAACAAUGAAAUAAAGAUUUAAGACUAGUGGAAGAGAUUUUCUAUAUUAUUUUGGAAAAGAGAGAUACUGAAGAAAAUGCACGGAGGAGAAUAUAUGUAAAAUACAGGACCUAACUUUGUCUGUGAGACCAGCAAAAAUAUUCCUAAGGAAAUGAAGAGGGAAAUUUCAAUGAAGCAAAGAAAAGAACAUUUCAAGAAUGGAAGAUUACUGAAUAGUGUUAAAGGCUUAUAAGAAGGCAAGUAAGAGAAGGACUGAGAACUCAUUUCUUUGGCAACCUUGGAAAGAACAAAUACCAUGAGAAGUGUAGGUGGAAAUUAACUAGUAUGAGGCUGAAAAAAGAAUAAGUAAGGAAAUGAAGACCACGAACUUUCAAACUUCAGAAAAUUUUGAAGUGAAGAGGAGUUGUGGAUUCUUUUCAAAUAGGAAAGAAAGUGCUAUAGGAAGAAGUU